AAAAAAAUGAAGCUCAAGCUUAUACUUAAAGAAUACAUAGGAGUGAAAUAGAUAACUGAUAUCUGAUGAUAAACUCAGAAACACUCUAGGAGAGAGAGUUAAGAUGCCCCAAAGUAUAAAAUCAAGACACAGAACAAGUAAUAUUGGAAACAAUGAACAAAUUGUCCACCAUGACACUGAGAUUAUGCCAUGUGUUCCAAGAUCUCCUUGGAGGUAACAGAUUUUGGAGAAAGAGGGUACCAGGGAAGAAGAGAUGGUGAACAAAGGACAGGCCAUUCACAGGAAAGAGCAACACGCUUGGAUUUAGAAGUUCUAAUUUCCUUUCCUUCUGUGUCGCUAACUGGAUUAAUUUGGUGCACUUUGCUGACACUCUACAGAACAGUUCUGACUCUCCACAUUUGGUC